UACAGAGGGUGCAAGCGUUAAUCGGAAUUACUGGGCGUAAAGCGUGCGCAGGCGGCUUUGCAAGACAGAUGUGAAAUCCCCGGGCUUAACCUGGGAACUGCAUUUGUGACUGCAUGGCUGGAGUGCGGCAGAGGGGGAUGGAAUUCCGCGUGUAGCGGUGAAAUGCGCAGAUAUCAGGAGGAACACCGGUGGCGAAGGCGGUGGGCUGGGCCGGCACUGACGCUGAGGAGCGAAAGCGUGGGGAGCGAACAGG
rnacentral:rRNA from 1 species